rnacentral:rRNA from 1 species
CGAGUGGCGGACGGGUGAGUAAUGCUUGGGAAUUUGCCUUUAGGUGGGGGACAACAGUUGGAAACGACUGCUAAUACCGCAUGAUAGCUACGGCUCAAAGGGGGCUUCGGCUCCCGCCUUUAGAGAAGCCCAAGUGGGAUUAGGUAGUUGGUGAGGUAAAGGCUCACCAAGCCCACGAUCCCUAGCUGGUCUGAGAGGAUGAUCAGCCACACUGGAACUGAGACACGGUCCAGACUCCUACGGGAGGCAGCAGUGGGGAAUAUUGCACAAUGGGCGAAAGCCUGAUGCAGCCAUGCCGCGUGUGUGAAGAAGGCCUUCGGGUUGUAAAGCACUUUCAGCGAGGAGGAAAGCUUAGUCGUUAAUACCGGCUAGGUGUGACGUUACUCGCAGAAGAAGCACCGGCUAACUCCGUGCCAGCAGCCGCGGUAAUACGGAGGGUGCGAGCGUUAAUCGGAAUUACUGGGCGUAAAGCGUACGCAGGCGGCCAUUUAAGUCAGAUGUGAAAGCCCCGGGCUCAACCUGGGAACUGCAUUUGAAACUGGAUGGCUAGAGUGCGACAGAGGGUGGUAGAAUUUCAGGUGUAGCGGUGAAAUGCGUAGAGAUCUGAAGGAAUACCAAUGGCGAAGGCAGCCACCUGGGUCGACACUGACGCUCAUGUACGAAAGCGUGGGUAGCAAACAGGAUUAGAUACCCUGGUAGUCCACGCCGUAAACGAUGUCUACUAGCAGUUUGGAGCUUAAGCUCUGUCUUGCGCAGCUAACGCAUUAAGUAGACCGCCUGGGGAGUACGGCCGCAAGGUUAAAACUCAAAUGAAUUGACGGGGGCCCGCACAAGCGGUGGAGCAUGUGGUUUAAUUCGAUGCAACGCGAAGAACCUUACCAUCUCUUGACAUCCAGAGAAUUUAGCAGAGACGCUUUAGUGCCUUCGGGAACUCUGAGACAGGUGCUGCAUGGCUGUCGUCAGCUCGUGUUGUGAAAUGUUGGGUUAAGUCCCGCAACGAGCGCAACCCUUAUCCUUAGUUGCCAGCACGUAAUGGUGGGAACUCUAAGGAGACUGCCGGUGACAAACCGGAGGAAGGUGGGGACGACGUCAAGUCAUCAUGGCCCUUACGAGAUGGGCUACACACGUGCUACAAUGGCAAGUACAAAGGGUUGCAAACUCGCGAGAGUAAGCGGAUCCCAUAAAGCUUGUCGUAGUCCGGAUUGGAGUCUGCAACUCGACUCCAUG